UGGGGAAUAUUGGACAAUGGGCGAAAGCCUGAUCCAGCCAUGCCGCGUGUGUGAAGAAGGUCUUCGGAUUGUAAAGCACUUUAAGUUGGGAGGAAGGGCAGUAAGCGAAUACCUUGCUGUUUUGACGUUACCGACAGAAUAAGCACCGGCUAACUCUGUGCCAGCAGCCGCGGUAAUACAGAGGGUGCGAGCGUUAAUCGGAAUUACUGGGCGUAAAGCGCGCGUAGGUGGUUCGUUAAGUUGAAUGUGAAAGCCCCGGGCUCAACCUGGGAACUGCAUCCAAAACUGGCGAGCUAGAGUAGGGCAGAGGGUGGUGGAAUUUCCUGUGUAGCGGUGAAAUGCGUAGAUAUAGGAAGGAACACCAGUGGCGAAGGCGACCACCUGGGCUCAUACUGACACUGGGGUGCGAAAGCGUGGGGAGCAAACAGG
rnacentral:rRNA from 1 species